UUUUUUAUGUCAUUGCCUGCUGACGUCAGC
rnacentral:piRNA from 1 species